rnacentral:misc_RNA from 1 species
UGCAUAAGAGUGAAGGGAGAAUAUUUUUUCUCCAUCAUUCGUAUGGUAAAAUCUGUGUAUGACUGAAUAAUGCCAAAUGAACCAUAUAAUUGUCACUCAGAUGAUUCAACAGAACCAAAUAACUGGGAAAACAAGCAGUUACUGUUAUAAUAUGCAAUGACAAAGUGAAUGCAUCAUGACUUGAAAUUUCAUUGUUCCCCCUGAAACUCUCUAGUCCAAAAGUUGAUGUGUCUUUCUACCGCAUUGUGUGUUUGAGGACACAGUGUUCAUUGCCCAACCUGUGGAGGGGGGACUUCAUGUAUCAUCCAACAGACACUCUUCUUUUUUGUUUCAUAUCUUUGAAGUAGUGGACCAUUUACUAUUACAAUCUUAUACAUGUAGAAUGCCAAUGUUAUGCGUGUACAAUUGUAUUGCAUUCUAUGAUGAUUUAUUGUUUACGCUGCAAGAUAUUCAACUUGUGUAUUAACCUACUGAUGUUCUAGAAAUUCUCUGAUCGAAUUAUGGAUAUUAAGUUCACUGGUAUCGUAACUCUUUUACAAUUUCUGAGUUACCGCAGUCCGUGGAUUUUGGUGUAUUUAAGUUAAUCAAGUUGCUAUAGCUACUAGGUGAUAUAUGAUUAUUUCCUGUACAAUAUUUUGCUCAGGUUAAUGUAUGUAACAGAAACCUUUCACCAAAGGUGUGAUCUUCAAACCCCAAGAAAAAAUAAUUGAAAUGUUGAGAAGUUUGUAGGAAUGGACAAGGAUCUCUUUGCAGGGUUGUGAUACCAAACACUGGAGGCAUUUUCUGUGUCUUACUAAAUAUGAAAAUUGGGCCAAAUGCAAAACUUUAAGAACAGAAUAUAAUUAUGUAUGUAUAUCUAACCAAGUAUACCAAGCUUGCCUUUGUAAAUUUUGAUUGGUUAAACAUUCUGUAUGACGGCCCUUGGCGGGCUGUCCUAUGGGUCAGUCUACCCACGGUAAUCAUGGUCUGUACCAGUCGUUGAAUGGUUUUUCCACUGCUGCUAUUUAAUUUGCUUUACACAGAGAUGUACAAUACUUCAAUAAAAUGUCAAUAAUUU